rnacentral:lncRNA from 1 species
UUUGGAUUCCGAAUUUGCCCUCCCAAUUUUGUACAUAAAAUUCGGUUCCUCUUAUUGACGGCGAAUUUGUUCUUCAUUCAUCGCCGAUCUGGUAAGCCGUUUUCUCUUCAUUCAUGGCAUACAUUCCGAUGAAGGAACGAUUCUAGUGGUAGCUCUGAAAUUAGGGUUUUAUGUUGAAAAUUUGAAAUAGUAUGAUGUGGGUUAAUUUUUCAAUUCGAUUUCUCUCUGUCGUCUGUAAUGAAACACAAAAGAGUAUGAAAAACGCGUCGACAUUACUGGUAUCGACGGCUUCGUGUGCUCUUCGUUCGCCGGAAGUUUUGUAAAAAAAAACGAUUCUUUUCUUGAAUUGAUGAAAUUUCCCUAUUUUUGCAAUUUCUUGUAUAUUGGGGGUUUUGGGUGUUGGAGGCGACGGGCUGCAGGCAACGAGAGGGUUGAUAUAUUAUAACACCUUAAUUGUUGAAAUACUUUGAGUUGAUUUUGUUGGAGUUGUUGCGAGCUGCAUUUGGGGGGAAGUGGUUUCCAAUGUGUUUAUGCAGAAGGAAUAUGAGAGAAUGGUGAUGGCACUUUGUUUGUAAUAGGAUGAUUUUGUUUGUGAAAAUUAAGAAUUUGUUUUUUUUGGUUAUGUGAAGCUAUGUAUGCUCUGUUUAGAAGCUUAUUUGAUGGGACUGUAUUUUCAAUUCCGGUGGAAAUUGAGUUGGGAAUUUGUUAACUUUGGAAUUAGAAACGAUAGAGCUGAACUAUUGAUGAGAUGUUUGGAUGAGAAUUAAUUGGGUUGUGUAUGGAGAAGGGGGUUGCAUUUUUGAGAGUGUAGGUUGAAGGGCAUAUUUCGUGGGUUUCAGGCUAUUUUUCUGUAAUUCAUUCAUAAUUUGAUUUGGUUUUGCAGUGAAUGAAUCAGCUCAAGAACAUGUGUCGUCUGCUGAGAAACAUAUUCCAGAGGGUGGCGCUAUUACUGAAAAUGGAAAAUUCUAUCGUGCCACUGCUUCAAUGCAGCUUGCACCGUUAUGAUUGAGACACGUGUAAUGUCAAAAAAAAGAAAAAAAGAGGUAACCGUGGUUUGGCUGGCUGCCCGAGGAAAAAAUUGCAGAAAUUUUCACCCGAAGAAGAAAUUGGAUCCCUGUCUGAGAUACGUCGAGAAAUUUUGGCCGAGAGCAACAUUGUUCAACGGCGAAUUUGGCGCUGAAUCCGAAUAUGUUUUCAGAUUCAAGAACGAUGGCGUAUAGAAGAAGUGCCUGAGAGUUUCGGUGAGGCGAUCACUGUUUCGGCGAAGGGCUCUCGAUAUUUGCGCCAGAUUUUUCAACGGGAACAUGAUGGUGAGUCGGAAAAAUAGUUUCUGAAUUAUUGUAUUUUUGUAUUUUGUUCGAAAUGGUGUUUUAUGUUUGAAUUUGUUAUUUUAUAAUGAAUUUGUUUCCAAUAAUUGGUCCUUCUUCGUCUUCUUGAGUGCAUCGCCGUGGUGGAGGUGCCUCUUUCGCCUCUCCUUCUCUCUGCCGACCUCACCUACUCCGAUUUCCUCAAUCCCUCUUUUCUCUCUCUAAAGAUCCAAUUUUGCUCAAGGGUUUUUGAUUGUGUAGCGUUCCAGCCGUUAGCUCGUUAGUAUUUCGAAGGUGCUGAUCUCGGCUUUCGUUUUGAUGCCUCUCUUCGCAAUUUACACUAUGAUGUACUGAAUCGUUGGUCUGGCGGUUUGCUUAUUUUGAUGGUAGUUUGAAUUGAAUAUUGGUUGAUGAUUUUCUGAAACUCGUGUAUAGGUUUAAUGUGUGCUUUUCUAGUCAACGAACAGGAAAUUUCUAUCUUACCUUUAUGGGAAUUCUCUUAUUCAACUUUUUGCAUGUCUUCUUUGCAACAUUAAAGACACUCUUGAAUCCCUUGAAGCGCAGCUGUCUUCUUUGCAGGUUCUAUUUCUGUAACAUUUUCAUUAUUUUAGGUUUUGGUAUAGUGAUUUGGGGGUUUACUAGGUGGACCUUAAUGUGGAUUCUUGGAAGUUUUCAGUUGGUUUUUCGUUUCUUGUAUCAAUUUAG